rnacentral:rRNA from 1 species
CAGCCGCCGCGGUAAUACGUAGGUGGCAAGCGUUGUCCGGAAUUAUUGGGCGUAAAGCGCGCGCAGGCGGAUCAGUUAGUCUGUCUUAAAAGUUCGGGGCUUAACCCCGUGAUGGGAUGGAAACUGCUGAUCUAGAGUAUCGGAGAGGAAAGUGGAAUUCCUAGUGUAGCGGUGAAAUGCGUAGAUAUUAGGAAGAACACCAGUGGCGAAGGCGACUUUCUGGGCGAAAACUGACGCUGAGGCGCGAAAGCCAGGGGAGCGAACGGGAUUAGAUACCCGUGUAGUCCCUGUCUCUUAUACA